UUUGCCAGUACAUUUGAACAUGGCAUUCUGCUAUUAAUUCAGUGUUGCUUACCAUGUCAGAAUGGAUGGCAGUAGUAAACCUCAUCUUUUAAUAAUGUUUAGUAUGAAGUGUCUACCUUCUGUAGUGUACCCUUUUUUAUAAAGGAGAAAAUGACCACAAGUUUCUGACAAAUACUAGUGAGACAGCAAGUAAAAAUAAAUGCUGUGAUUUAAGCUGGUUUGCUCAUUGUAACACUGUUCUGCUUCCACUGGAACUGCAAUUGUCAAGCAGGUCAUAGGCUACAGAUGCAGUAGAGAGAUUGUGUUUCUGGUAUGAUCCAAGGCCAGUGAGGCUAACUGCCAUCUGCCCAGUAUUGUUCUUUCAUUCUUGAAUUGGAAAUAAAAUCCAAAGCAAAUAAAGGGAAAGAGGAGGUAUGUGAAAACCAUGCCUAACAUACUGCCUUUCAAGUUAGCUUUCUAGUGGAAAAGGUUCAAACCCGGGACCAUUCCUCUAAUGAGAUGCAAUUUGUGUUAUAUGGCAAAUAAGCUUCUUGAAGUUUUUUACCAAAAGCUGUUAUUGGGAGAAACUCUGUUUUUUAGUGCAAAGCAGCCAACAGUCAUGGAUUUGAUUACGAUUUUUUUCAAGUUCAUUGUUUAACAAUGUAUUUGAGUGAAAAAACUUCAUUUUACAAUGCUUUUGGAGGUAGACAGUUUAUUUUACUGAUUGCUGUGAAGGAUUUGCAGCUUGCUUGCUGGGUGUUGGAGUGCCAGCCAAAAAAAGUUCCUGAUACAUUUCUUCCCAUCAGAAACACUUAAAUAGUGAUUCUACAACAGUAGAGCUGCUGUUUUGGAGUUUUCCUACCUAAUUAUUUUAAGAAUUGUUGGGGGCUUUAAAACUUCUGAGGUAUACAAUUCCUUCAUUACAGAACUUCCCAUUCAGACUGUGGUGCUCGAAGUAAAGCUUGAAGGGAGAACUUUUCAGCCUGGAUGGUAUAUGCAGUCCUCUGCAUUCAGAUUGUGUAUUGUGUCCACCCUUCUUCUGCGUGAUUCUGGCUGUCUUAGGUUUCUGAUGUUGAUGAUGACUUGGAAUGUCAGCCACUGGGAUGUGGUUCACAGUGGUUUACAGCAGAGUUGCUGUGAAGUUUUUAGUGUAGGUGGCUGUCUUCUCGUUUUUGUGGGGUAACUCAUGGUUUUGCUUGAAAACCUGAGUCUGAAAGAUAGAAUAUCACAGGUUACAUAUGUCUUACACUGAAAGGUUCUCUUUACAAUUAAGACUUGUGUAAAUGCAGUCUUACCAUAAAAUUUAAGUAAAUUUUGUGCUUCCUUAUUAAAUGAAGUUCCUCUCUGUGAGGGUCUAGCUGGAAAUACGUUGUUCUGCGUUUCUUUGAACUCCAUAAUGGGCUUUGCGCUCAAACAUUCUACCCGCACUCAAGCCUUUAUUAUAUAAAUGAGGACAUACCUCCAUUUCAGGGCACAGUAUGAUGAAAACACUCAUACUGAGGAGUAGGUAGAGUAUGGGCACCAAUGACGGAUGCCAAGCAUAUGCCUGUUGC